rnacentral:rRNA from 1 species
UAAGAAUCUUCCGCAAUGGGGGAAACCCUGACGGAGCGACGCCGCGUGGACGAUGAAGGCCGGAAGGUUGUAAAGUCCUUUUUUAAGAGAAGAAUAAGUGGGGGAGGGAAUGCCCCUAUGAUGACGUUAUCUUGAGAAUAAGCCCCGGCUAAUUACGUGCCAGCAGCCGCGGUAAUACGUAAGGGGCGAGCGUUGUUCGGAUUUAUUGGGCGUAAAGGGCGUGUAGGCGGUUCUGUAAGCUUGGUGUGAAAGGCUAAGGCUUAACUUUAGGAUUGCGCUGAGAACUGCAGGACUUGAGUGUAGGAGGGGGAUACGGAAUUCCUGGUGUAGGGGUGAAAUCUGUAGAUAUCAGGAAGAACACCGGUGGCGAAGGCGGUAUCCUGGCCAUACACUGACGCUGAGGCGCGAAAGCGUGGGGAGCGAAC